CAGAGCAGCCAUAUCACUCUGCAGCUCACAACUGACAACCCACUGAAGCUAAGCAGAUGUGAACCUGGUCAGUACCUGGAUAGGAGACCUCCUGGGAAAAGCUAAGGUUGUUGCUGGAA
rnacentral:rRNA from 1 species